AUCACGUGCCUCUGCUCGUUGCGGCGGAGCAGCGCGCUGCGCUCAGCUCUUCUCCCUUCUUGCUUCUCCCGACGGCUGCAAUGAAUCCGUUCUUCCUUUCAGGAGCGCUGCGUGCUGGAACAAAGUUCGUCUCGUUCCUCCGGACGCUUUGGUCUCUCAUCGUGUUCAUCGUUUGCAGUUUGGGAGUUGUAGGGAUAUGGAACCAGUUCCUGGCACUGCUGGAGAUCUCUGCCUGGCAGCCGUCCCUCCCGCUGCGAGCAGCCGAUCUCACACGCAGCUCCGUGCUCAGGCCGCUUUCCGGGUUCUCUGCUCAGUUCUUUACGCCCGUUUGGAAUGCCGAAUCGGGGAUCGCGUUGUCCAUCCUCCUGAAUGUCUUCCUCUCCAUCCUUCUCAUCUACUUCGUGUGCAAGAAGUCUUCUCCUAAAGCAGAGAAUGCUGAGCGGCAGCAAGAAUGGGGAGGCUUAGGACAGGACUUGGGGGCGUCGGGACCCCCGGUGUCAUCGCAUGUGGAACAGAGGGGAGAAGAAGAAGAAGUGGAAGAAGUGGAGGAAGAUGCAGGGCAGGGACCGUCCCCAACAGCACCGCCAUCGAGAGCAGCAGCGGAAAGAGCUGAGAGCCACGGAGAGGAGAGUGAGGAGGAGGAAUUUGCUGUUAGCACUGCUCGCCCAGCUCGGGAGGUGACUGAAUUCCACCGCUCAAGAGAGGAGUUUGUACGGCACCCAAACGAAGCUGUUGUCACCUGGCUGCUUCGCUGUUGGGACAGCGGGGCCAGCAGUGUGCUUCUAGAUGGAAACGGGGCUCGCCAGCUGGGCAGCAUUGCCGGAGACUCAGCUAUUGACAGAGGGAUCAGUAGAUGUCUGCGCGGAGUCACCACCCUCUGGGAACGAAUGUUAUUGGCCGUGAAGGAAAGGCAUCCCUUCAAAGAUGAUCUGGAGCCUGAAGUGAAAAGGUGGAAGACUCUUAAAGAAGGUAUCCAGUAUUUGAGAGAGACGGCCGUGGCGGAGAUGUUGUGUGACCCCAUGUUCAUCCCCAAUGAUCCACGCCCGAACCGCCGUGAUCCUGAGAAUGUGAGGAUCACGUCAGAUGUUGUGUGGAAUCUCACAAGAACAGCACCAGAAAGGUACCUGGGUGUGCUGGCAUCGAUGUCCCAUAGGUACGAGAAGCAACAGAGGAGGCCCCCCGUGUUUGAACUGAUUAUUAGACUUCAGAUCUUUGAACAACAACUACUUCUAUUCCACGGUUACGUUUCAGCCACCUCAGAAAUAACAGAAAGAAUGGAUAAAGCAGAGAAGAGGAUGGAUAAGAUGGCAGGUAAAAAGGAGAGGAAACAGGGCGGCAUGCCAGAGGAAGCGUCCCUGUCAGUGAAUCGUGGUGAACCCGUGGCAGGGUCAGAAACAGCCAGCGAAGAUCAGGACCUAACGAGUCUGCUGAAGGAGCUGAUCACACUGAUUAAAGGUGAUGAACCCUCCUCCUCACCUGCGCCACCCAAAAUCUCAGCUAUCAAUGGCAAACGCUCUCCCACGCAAGCAAACGACAGCAGUAGAUGUAUGGCACGUGCUGCCUUGUGGAGUUACUUACGUGAGCAUGGAGAAGACAUGAAGGAGUGGCGUAAAAAACCCACGGCUGCGCUCCGAGCUCGGGUGAGAGAAUUACAGCAGAGAUCAACCAGCAUGCAACUGCUCCACUUACUGCAGGUAAGCAAUGGGGGGCCCUGCCCUCAGGUGGGGGGAAGGGAUGAUUUGUACCUCGUUGGGCCCGUGGGACCUCAGGCCAUCAGGGAGGGGAUGCAGCAUAGAAGUGGGCUGCAGACCGAGGGGUGGACUGAACUACGGACACUAUUGCACAGCUGAUUCGUGGCCAUGACACACGUGCUGCAAUUCAACAAGGCAAGAGGACAAAACCUCUGAUGGGGGAAGGCAAUGGCAAAAUAUGAAUAUGGGGAGGCGUGGCAGGUUGACGCCAUCACCUUGUCACGAACCCAUAAAGGUAAGCGUUUUGUGCUCACCGUGGUGGAGGCAACCACUGGUGCUGUGAAACGUCUGCAGUACCCCAUGCUGGCGCCCGAAACACCAAGUGGGGUCUGGAGAAACAAGUGCUGUGGUGACGUGGCAGUGCAGGGAGAAUGGAGUCAGAUAACGGGGCUCAUUUCAAACAUUCCCUUGUGGAUAUUUGUGCCAAAGACGAUGGCGCUGAGUGCAUUUAUCACAUCCCCUGUCAUGCACAGCUUCUGGUAAGAUCAGACGCUGCGAUGGGUUGUUCAAAACCACGUUGAAAGCAGCGGGUGGUGGAACAUUGCAGCUCUGGGAGAAGCAUUUGGCAGAAGCCCCCUGGUUGGUCAAUACCAGAGGAUCUAUCGAUCGUGCUGGCCCUAGCCCAUGCAGCUCCCUGCAUGCUGCACGGGGAGAUGAGGUCCCUGCAGUGCAUGUAAAGAACGCGCUGGACAAAGCGGCUUGGGGCCUUCCAGCCUCCGGAAAGGGCAGAGCUGUCCGUGGGGCUGUUUGUGCUCAGGGUGCAGCUGUGUGUGACGGGAAUGGGGCUGUGCAGUGCGCACCAAGGGAAUGCGCUGCUGAAAGGGGCAGCGCGGCCAGGAUCCCACGUCUGCGUGUGCGUUUAACGCGAGUUAAUUGUCGUUUGUCAACAUGAGGCGGUGCUGUGGGAUCAGGGCUGCAAUGUGACGGCUCUGCGAUGUUCGUUAUCAGGGCUCCACAUCACAGCGCCGUGCAGCGCAGCGGCAGUGAAGGAGUUCGGGCCGCAGUUCCGGCACGGCGGAUAUUUGCGGCUCUGCGGGGCGCAGAGGAGCCGAACUGCAGCUCCCAGCGCCGGCCCCGCUGCAGUGCUCCGCCCGGAGGGAAGGCGGCGCGGCUCCGAGUCACGUGACGGCGCGGUUCCGAGUCACGUGACGGCGCUGUCUGCCGCCGCUCCGCCGGCUCCGGGCGCUCGUUGAUUUCAUUCAUUAGCCGCAAUCCCAACUCACUUCUGUUUCUGCUAUUAGCACCCGAUAAUUAACUUUCCUUCUGAGAUGGUGGACCCUGGUUUUCGUUUCCUUCUUUUCCUCUUUGUUCCCUCCCUGGUUUUGGCCCUGAGGCUCUGCUGUCCCGGUGCCGCAGUCCCAGACGGAUCCAGAGAUGACUCGGCGACGGUCAGUGCUGGCCCAGGGGCUGCAUGCAUCCUGGGUAUGGAUUACCUCGGGAGGGUGAAAGAGUUUGAUUCCGCACAUCAAGGGGGCAUUUCAAGGAUCCCAAGGGGUAUCGAUGGGCCUUUGGAGGAGCUGCUGCAGACGCACACAAGGUGAAGCAGCUGUCUGUUCUGCCUGGCCUGUCAGAAGAUCCGUCUGCUGUGGGGUUGCUAUGGGUAAAAGAGCAGCAGGUGCCGACUGCCACAAAAACGGUGCGCAGACGGCAGCACCGCACCAACAGGGACUCCUUGCUCCCCGUUCCUGAGUUGAUUCGUCAGCUAGAGAGUCAGGGAGUGAUCAGCAAAACCCUCUCACCUUUAACAGCCCCAUACGGCCGGUGCAUAAAGCCAGUGGAGAAUGGAGGCUGACGGUAGACUGCCAUGGCCUGAAUGAAUCACAGAACUGCUGCGUUUGGAAAAGACCCCCAGGAUAAUGAAGUCCAACCCCAACCCAACCAUCCUACCCCAACUCUAACAUUCUCCACUAAAUCAUGUCCCUGAGCACCACAUCCAAACGGGUUUUAAACACAUCCAGGGAUGGUGGCUCAACCACCUCCCUGGCAGCCCAUCCCACUGCUUAACAGCCCUUUCCGUAAAGAAGUUUUUCCUGAGAUCCAACCUAAACCUCCCCUGGCACAACCUGAGGCCAUUUCCCCUCGUCCUGUCAGCAGUGAGAACAGAGCAGCCCCGUCAUC